UUUGUACUCCAUCCGUCCCAAAAUUCUUGUCUUAAAUUUUUCUAAAUACGGAUGUAUCUAGUUACAUUUUAGUGUUAGAUACAUCCGUAUCUAAACAAAUGUAAGACAAGAAUUUUGGGACGGAGGGAAUACUAC
rnacentral:pre_miRNA from 1 species